rnacentral:lncRNA from 1 species
UCUCUUAAUAUUAGAUACGCGAUCAUAAAAUUAAAUACCCGACCGUCCCUAGCGUAAGUGGCAAAGGGUCACCGACCGUCUCUAGAGCAAGUGGCAAAGGGCUUGGUGGUUGGUACCCGAGAUCUAAGUUCGAAUCCUAGUUGAUUCACAUUUCCAGCUAAGUUUAUUUUUAAAUGAAAUAAACGAAGCGGGUAGCGUCCUACCAAUCUCUCUAAAAAAAAAGUAAGUGGCAAAGGGUCUGGUGAUUGGUAUUCGAGGUUCCAAAUUCGAAUUCUAAUUGAUUCACAUUUUCAUUUUUUUUUUUUUUUGAGAAAAAGGUAACAUGCUAUCUACUUCAUUCAUUAGAAAAGUGUACUAGGCUACAUGAGUGAGGCAACACAGGCCUCUAAGGCUCCGUUUGGUUCGGGAAUUAGUAGGAACUAGUUAUACCGGGGAUAGGUACAAGUAUGGAUUUUUGUAGGAACAAGAGUAUUUUUUUGUUUGGGUGAAAUUGUGAGUAUAAGCUGGAACUAGAAAAAUUGCGUUUGGAUGGUUUUUGGGAAUAAGAGGAAUAGUUAGUAGUUAUAAAUAGAAAAUAAUAAUAUUACCCCUAUAAUUGAAAUUAUAUUUUUAAAUUUUAAAUAUAUAAUUUUAAAUUAAAGUCCUAAAGUUUUAAGUUUUAAAUUUUAAAAUUAAAUUUUAAAUUUUCAAUAAUUUAAUUUUAAAUUUCAAAGUUAAAACCAAAUUAAAAUUCAAAGAUAUAAAAUAACAAAUUUAUAAAAUUUAAAAACUAAAAAUAUCAAAUUUAAAAUUUAAACUUUAAAAAUUAAAAAUUUUAAUUUAUAAAUUUUAAUUUUAAAUUUAUAAAUUUUAAAAAUUUAUAUUUAAAUUUAAAAUAAAACACCUCUCUCUCUCUCUCUNUCCCACCAAACCGGGUUGUACCGGGUACAACCCGGUAUGGGUGGGAACACUUGUUCCCACCAAACUCUUUUUUUGUUUGGGUAUAAAGGGGGGGAUAUCCCCCUUAUCCCCCCCCUUUAUAUCCGAACCAAACGGGGUGUAAAGGGGUGAAAAAAAAAAAAAAACACAAAGUCAUCGUAAGCUGAUUAAUCUUUCCUAUGUCCAUAGAGAAAUUCCACCCAUUGAGACAAUAGCUGAUUAAUCUUACAGAUUCCAAGAAAAGGGUGUCUUCUUAUUUUCAGCUAAAUUGAUUUCUAAAAAAAUAAACUAAGCAGAUAGUAUGCUAUUUAAAAAAAAGAAAAAAUUGAAGGGAGGAUACAAAAUUUUAAAUAUGAAU